CACAGGCAAAUGUCUAUAAAUCAUGCUUGCCCUGAGUGAAAACCUCAAGGAAAAAUGGUGAUUUGGGCUUUCACAGCAUAGGCAAGAAACAAGCAGAAAAUACUUCAUCAGAAUAAGGGGGAAAUGAAAUGGUCAAACAUCUAAGAUUGUUUCGUCCACUUGCUGUGGCUGGACUAGAAUUGACAGACUAAAAGAAGGAAGAGGAGAAGCAGAGAUUAGACGUCAAAAGGAUUGAUUGGUUAACAUGAAAAGACUGCAGAGACAUAAUCCCUAUUAUAUGCUGUUUAGUAAGUCUGUCUAACUGAGGUAAAUAGUUGCAGGUGCAACUAAUUAACCUAAAAUAUUAGCUAUCCAGAUCAAGAGUAAAAUGGGAAACCUUUUCU